rnacentral:rRNA from 1 species
GAUAAACGCUGGCGGCGUGCCUAAUACAUGCAAGUCGAACGAGGAAGACCCAGCUUGCUGGGUUGACCGAGUGGCGAACGGGUGAGUAAUACAUAAGCAACCUGCCCACGGAGACCGGGAUAAUCUCUGGAAACGGGGACUAAAACCGGAUAGGCAGCAAUGAGGCAUCUCAAUGCUGUUAAAGGUGAGAGACACUGGUGGAUGGGCUUAUGGCGCAUUAGUUAGUUGGUGAGGUAACGGCCCACCAAGACGAUGAUGCGUAGCCGGCCUGAGAGGGUGAACGGCCACAUUGGGACUGAGACACGGCCCAGACUCCUACGGGAGGCAGCAGUAGGGAAUUUUCGGCAAUGGGGGGAACCCUGACCGAGCAACGCCGCGUGAGUGAAGAAGGUCUUCGGAUUGUAAAGCUCUGUUGUAAGGGAAGAACGUCAGGCAGAAGAUGCCUGAGUGACGGUACCUUACCAGAAAGCCACGGCUAACUACGUG